CCUGCCCCUAGAGGCUUUGCAAGUGUGCCUGCUGUGUCACAUGUGUGUCAGUAGGUGGCAGGGAGGUGAAAGGCUAUGUCUAUGCUUAGUCUUCUGACCUGUGAACAUUCAAUUGAUUAGUAGCCAAAUAUU